rnacentral:rRNA from 1 species
UACGGAGGGUGCAAGCGUUGUUCGGAAUCACUGGGCGUAAAGCGCGUGUAGGCGGUUACGUAAGUCUGAUGUGAAAGCCCGGGGCUCACCCCCGGAAGUGCAUUGGAUACUGCGUGACUAGAGUGCCGGAGAGGAGGGUGGAAUUCCUGGUGUAGCGGUGAAAUGCGUAGAUAUCAGGAGGAACACCGGUGGCGAAGGCGGCCCUCUGGACGGAUACUGACGCUGAGACGCGAAAGCGUGGGGAGCAAACAGG